rnacentral:pre_miRNA from 1 species
UUGUAGAUUACUGGGCCAUUUCUCCUUGGGCAGAUCAUGAUUGGGCUUCGCUUCGUGCUAGCCAGCUUAUUUUGUUCUGCCAAAGGAGAUUUGCCCAGCAAUCCACAU